rnacentral:tRNA from 1 species
AUGAAUUUUCAGAAAGAAAUAAUUACUCCGCUUCGUGAUUCAUUGGCAGAAGAGGUCGGGAGAUUGUUUUUUGGUUU